rnacentral:tRNA from 1 species
GCCGAGGUGGUGGAAUUGGUAGACGCGCCGGACUCAAAAUCCGGUGGUGGUGACACUGUGGGGGUUCGAGUCCCCCCCUCGGUA